rnacentral:lncRNA from 1 species
AUGGCGCCGCCGAGUUCGGUCGCCGUCCAGGUCGCUCCGCUUAGAUUGUGUUUUUAUUUACUUUUUUACCUACUUUUGCUUUCUCUUUUUGCACACAUAACCUCUGCACUGAUCACUUACGACAAAGGAACACUUUUGGACAUUGGAUACCGCUUCACUAACCUGUUUCAGGACACUUUAUCCUCCAACCCAUCGUGGCCAUCUGAGAUUCUCCGGAACACCGAGAUGAACAAUGGCCACCUGAAUAACCACCCGAGGCGACGGAUCAAGAAACACCGCGGGAAACGUGCUGGGGUCCGCAACAGACUGAGAAAAAGAGCUCACAGUCCUCCUCUACCGAGCAUUCUGCUCGCCAGUGUCCAGUCUCUGGAGAAUAAGAUGGACGAUCUUAGAGCCAGGAUAAGUUUCCAACGGGACAUUAGGGACUGUAACAUCCUUUGUUUGUCUGAAACAUGGCUCACGCCCUCGGUCCCGGACGCUGCUGUAACGCCGUCUGAAAACUUCUCUGUUUUACGGAUGGACAGGACAGCAGAGGCCGGUAAAUGGAAAGGUGGCGGAGUGGGUUUCACGGUGAAGAAGAAGUGGUGUGGCCCCAGGAAUAUCUCCACUCUGUCGCGCUCCUGCUCGCCUCAUCUGGAACAUUUAUCUAUUAUUUGCCGCCCAUUCUAUCUUCCCCGGGAGUUUUCAUCGAUCAUCGUUACUGCUGUCUACAUCCCACCACAAGCUGACACCGGUUUGGCUUUGUCCGAGCUUCACGAUGCGCUCAGCCGGAACAUCAACAAACAUCCUGACGCUGCUGUUAUCAUCGCUGGGGACUUUAACAAAGCCAACCUCAGGCAGGUUAUGCCUAAUUUUUAUCAACAUGUAUCCUGUCCAACCAGAGGACCGAAUACACUGGAUCAUUGCUACACUCAGUUUAAGCAUGCCUACAAAGCUCGCUCACUACCGGCUUUCGGCAAAUCGGACCAUGCCGCCAUUUUCCUCACACCGGAAUAUAAACAAAGGCUCGUUCAAGAACCCCCGGUGCAGAGGGUGGUGACGCGCUGGUCCGCCCACUCAGAAGCCAUGCUACAGGCGGCUCUUGAUGACGUAGACUGGGACAUGUUUCGGGCAAGUUCAUCUGACGUCAGCGAGUUCACGGAUGUAGCAUUAAGCUUUGUAAACACGCUAGCCGAACAAGCUACGGAUACAAUAUCUAUAAGGACCUUCUCUAAUCAGAAACCUUGGGUGGACAGUACAAUCCGUGCAGCAGUAAACAAACGCACUGCUGCUUACAACGCCGGUCUUUUGUCGGGAAACAUGAGUGAGUACAAAGCAUCGUGCUAUGCUCUCCGACGCGCAGUAAGAGCCGCCAAACUCCGAUACAGGGAACGAAUAGAGUCACAUUUCCAGCUCAAUGACUCCCGACGCAUGUGGCAAGGACUAAGAACCAUCUGUGCCUUUGGAAAUAAAUUCUCUGCAGAGGUGAGAGCAGAUCCGUUGCUGGCUGACGAGCUAAACACUUUCUACGGCCGCUUUGAAAGCAAUCUGAGCAGCGCGAGUCUGCCGAUCAGCGCGUCAGGAAGCAGCAGUCAGUGCAGCGAUAAUCAUGUAAUCACCAUGUCUGAGGACGAGGUUCGGAGGGCUCUAAAGCGAGUGAAUGUCAGGAAAGCAGCCGGACCUGAUGGGAUUUCUGGCCGUAUUCUGCGGUCCUGUGCUGAUCAGCUCGCUGGUUUGUUUACAUCUAUUUUUAAUGAGUCCCUUGCUACCUCGGUGGUUCCCACCUCCUUUAAAAAAAUCUGUCAUCAUCCCUGUGCCUAA